GUCCACGCUGUAAACGAUGGGUACUAGGUUUGGUGGGUCUUGACCCCCGCCGAACCGGCGCUAACGCAAUAAGUACCCCGCCUGGGAAGUACGGUCGCAAGACUAAAACUCAAAGUAAUUGACGGGGGCCCGCACAAGCGGUGGAUCAUGUGGUUUAAUUCGAAGCAACGCGAAGAACCUUACCUGGAUUUGACAUCUUCUGACAAACGUAGAGAUACGUCUUUUGUAGCAAUACAACAUAAUGACAGGUGCUGCAUGGCUGUCGU
rnacentral:rRNA from 1 species